GCUAAUAUAUUUAGUAGCAAAUGGGUGAGUAACACGUACCUAACCUACCUUUUGGACCGGGAUAACUAUUGGAAACAGCAGCUAAUACCGGAUAAAAUAAAAAAAUGCAUGUUUUUUUAUUAAAAGGAGCCUUUAAAGCUCCACCAAAAAAUGGGGGUGCGCAACAUUAGUUAGUUGGUAGGGUAAAGGCCUACCAAGACGAUGAUGUUUAGCGGGGCCAAGAGGCUGUACCGCCACACUGGGAUUGAGAUACGGCCCAGACUCCUACGGGAGGCAGCAGUAAGGAAUAUUCCACAAUGAGCGAAAGCUUGAUGGAGCGAC
rnacentral:rRNA from 1 species